rnacentral:tRNA from 1 species
GCCUUCGUGGUGUAGUGGUCAAAGUGCUCGACGAGUAACCGAGAGGUCCGUGGUUCGAUUCCCGGGGAGGGCA